UCCACUCACCGUCUUUAAAGCAAACAUUCAACACAAUCAAGAGGUGCUCGUCACACUCCCCCAUCCCUAACCCUAUCUUUUUCCAAGUCUCGCUCUCAAGAAUUCAAAUUGGCGAAUUGUAUUGAAACUUGAGGAAAUCUCAGUUUUUGUGUCAGUUCUCUCUGACAGUUGGAAAUUCGUUGUAUAGACAUAGAGAUUUCGAUUGUUUGGUUGAAAUUUGAUUUUCCUUGUACUGUUUUUGUAUUUAUCAAUUCAGGUUGAGUCUCUCCCUUUUUUUUCAUGUAGAGUGAUAGAUUUGUUUUGUUUGAAUCGAAUUUGACGUGGAGUCUGUAUUAGUAGGUUAGUGAUGAAUAAUGAGAAAUUAGGGUUAGGGUUUUUGUGAAUUGUAAAGGACAUGGAGAGUACACGCAGACCAUUCGACAGAUCUCUUUCGAAAGAACCGGGACUGAAGAAACCCAGGCUCACUGAGGACCCUGCCGCACCCGAUCGUAGCUUUAAUGGACGUGGCAGAACUAGCCUUGGCGGCGGAUUUAUUCAACGACCUGUGUCUUCGUUCUCUGGGGGUGGAGGCGACUCGAGAUUCCAGAGGGACCGAGACUCGGAGAGCAGUGAUUCUGUCCGUGGGCCUUACCAUCACCAACAGAGUCCGCAGCUGCAUCAGGAGCUGGUGACCCAGUACAAGACUGCCUUGGCUGAGCUGACUUUUAACUCGAAGCCCAUAAUUACGAACUUGACUAUUAUUGCCGGUGAAAAUGUGCACGCGGCCAAGGCAAUUGCAAACACUGUCUGUUCGAAUAUUCUCGAGGUUCCUUGCGAGCAAAAGCUACCAUCUCUUUAUCUAUUAGACAGUAUUGUGAAGAAUAUAGGGAGGGAUUAUAUUAAACACUUUGCUUCCAGAUUACCUGAGGUUUUCUGCAAGGCAUAUAGACAGGUUGAUCCUUCAAUCCAUCCUGGUAUGCGGCAUCUUUUUGGCACGUGGAAGGGAGUCUUCCCUCCCCAGCCACUUCAGAUAAUUGAAAAAGAGCUUGGAAUUGCUACUGCUGUCAAUGGUUCAUCUUCAGGAACAACACCGUCUAGGCCGGAUUCACAGGCUCAACGUCCUGGACACAGCAUUCAUGUAAAUCCCAAGUAUUUAGAGGCAAGGCAGCGUCUUGAGCAGUCAUCCAGUGUGAGAGGAGCUGCCGGAGACACUAGUAAAACCUUGAUGAACUUACCUGAUGAUGUUGACGUACCAGAGAGAACCAGUAUUAAUUCGGGAAGAACAUGGACUGAUCCAUAUGUUAAGAACAUCCAGCGCCCUUGUAAAGAUCAAGUAAAUGAACCUGCUUGUGCCAAAAAUUUAAGUGCAACAUAUGGAGGAGAUUCUGACUAUGGUUCUGAUUCAUCAAAGCAUUCACAUUUGGGUAUUGGAAGAGCGAGUGAAAAACUUAAACAACAUGGAAAGCUGCUAUAUGAAUCUGGUAGAGAUGUAAAUGGGAAAAUAAUCGAUCAACAGAAUGGUUUUGACAUGGAGCACAGAUUUCGAAGCUAUCCUGCCCAUAAAUCUACAGGUCCUGACUCACUAGAACUAAAGAAAAACUUUGGGAAUAGAAGCAGCAGUGGGAUUGGUAGGAACUGGAAGAACUCUGAGGAAGAGGAGUAUACGUGGGAUGAUAUAAACUCAAGACCCACAGACAGUGGUGCUGUUGAUAUCUCAGAUAAAGAUCUGUGGAUACCUGACGAAUUUGAAAGAUUGGACUUUGAGAACCAUAUCCAAAGGCCCCAAAGUGGACAUUUCGUUGGAUCAAGGUUUGAUGAUGAAACAUCCACUGUUUCUCUAACUAAAAAUCCAGGCCAGGUAGUUCCUCGGACUCGAAUGGCAUCAUCAUUGACGCAGGAGAUACAUCCACUAGAAAGGAGACUUUCAGGCCCAGUUAAAAAUAUAUCAGGUGAGGGAUAUCAUGUUCCAUUUUCAAGCUCUGCAAAGUCAUUGGACAGGACUUCUUUCCAAUCACAGAUGGGCCCAGGCCUUAGUGGAGCACCAAGCUUUAGCUUUUCUACAAAUGCUAAGUCGGGGUCCACACCAUCAUUAACACGACAGACUCUGGGGACUGGAUCCCAAUCACCAAUGCACCAGCGAUCCCCUUCACCUUCACUCUCAGCAUGCAAUCCGAAUCAAGUACCGCACAAUUUUGCUGAUCAAGAACAAAACUCCGCCCCACAUCUUGUAGAUCCAAGAAUGUCUCAAUUUUCAGGACAAAGAAAUAAAGGGCCACGUAACCAGUUUUCUCAGGAUUCUGGGUCUAUGUCACCACAGGAUGUCAAUCUAGCUAGCUCACAUAGAUUGCAGCACCAAAGUUCACAGACAUUAUCUACUGUAAUGCCCCCUCAGCUGAGGAAACAUGUUGCAUCCAGUCAACAGAAAAAGCUUGAACUCUGUUAUGGGGAAGCUCAGAAGCGGUCGCUGCCACAAAAUUCAGGUAUUGAGAACUGCUCUACCACAGGGAAGUUAUCACUUUACCAACCAAAUCCUCUUUCUUCUGACUCUCCAGAACAAUCAAUUACCAGCACUUCGUUGGCUUCUGUAGUGAAGAGUGAAAUAAGUUCUAGUGUGCGUAACUUGCGUAAAUCAAGUUUUCAAGGUGCCGAGGGUGUGUCAGCACAGGUAGUUGCACAACUGCCUCUUCCAAGUGGACCUCCUCCUACCAACUUAACAUCCUUGCCAUCAUUACAUGGAAGCACAUUGGUUGAUACAUUUUCUUACGGAAAGGUACAAGGACCACCACUGCUACCUGGUUCGCCGUCAUCAUCUUUAGCAGGUAGUAGCUCAGAAGAGAAACCAAGUGCAAUAAAUCCUGCCUCUAAUCCAGUGUCUAGUCUUUUGAGCUCUUUGGUUGCAAAAGGCUUGAUCUCUGCAUCCAAGAAAGAUUCACCAUCUUUAGCUCCAACCAGCAUACCAACUCAACCUCCGGACCUAGAUACUGGGGCUAUAAGCAGUAGUACAACUGCAGAUUCUUCUGGUGCUGCCAUAGAUAAACCUUUUCCAUAUACUGCAGAUGAGCUAUCUUCACAUGGGCCUGAUACUAAGAUCUUUGAUGGUUUGCUUCAGUCCAUGACAACAAAGAGAAAAAGCCUCAUUGGUUUUGAGUUUAAGCCUGAUGUAGUUCGGCAAUCGCAUCCAGCUGUGGUCAUUGAACUUCUUGAUGACCUUCCUCAUCAGUGCAGCAUGUGUGGUCUGAGACUCAGGCUCCAAGAACAAUUUGAUAGACACAUGGAAUGGCAUGCAUUGAGGGCCCCUGGCCAGGAUUCUUUGAAUAAGAUUUCAAGGAAAUGGUACCCCAGUUCAGACGAUUGGGUUGCAGGAAUUGUUCCCCUUCAACCCAUUGAUGGCACCUCAGAUCUAUUGCACUCGGAAAACAGUGAGCCUUUGGUUCCUGCAGAUGAAAGUCAAUGUGCAUGUAUUCUGUGUGGUGAGCUGUUUGAAGACUUCUACCAUCAAGAAAGGGGCGAAUGGAUGUUCAAAGGAGCUGUUUACUUGACUAACCCAUCCCCAAAUGGGGGAACAGAAAAUGCCCAUGGCAGUGCUGAUAUGGGUAUCAUAGUCCAUGCUGACUGUGCUGCUGAAGUUUCUUUUUGUGACUCAGGACUGACGGGGGAUAUCAAAUUGGAAAAAUAUGCAUGAUGUUUGGAUGUGGAAACCAAUGACAUCACAGGUGUAUGGUACAGAGAAACAAUCAAAUUUUUGUAUGUCCACUAUUCAGAGCCUGUGUCAAGAUCUUUGUCCAUGUACGUGAGAAAAUGAAUGGAAAAUCACUUUUUCCAGCAUUAUUUUGCCUUUCUGGAGAUCCAGUUUUGCUUUACAGGGAGUAUGUUUUCUUUUUCAUGUUUGCACCAGGAAGAAUUACAUGCCCGAACUCCCAGGGAACCACUUGGAUUCACACCUAAAGCGAACUUGGAAGCAGACUUGAUCGACUUUUUGGAGCGUGUUAAUGUGAAUUGUGAGGCACGAAUUGGUGAUAAAACAAGUGAUUGUGACUGGAUAUUUUGGUUAAUACCCUGUGAAGUUUUAUGUGGGACAACUCUUUUGAGAUUAAUUUGUAGGAGCGAUGAUUUGAUCAAUUGGAUAUUACGGACUUUUAAAUGAUUUUGCCACAAAUAUUGAGGUGUAUCUCUUCGGACAUUAGACUUGUCUCCAGAACGAACGUGAGUUAUAUACUACUAAUGUCAUUUAAAAGCCAA